rnacentral:lncRNA from 1 species
CUAAUUCAUUGCUUUUGAAUAGUUUCCUAGGUCCAUUUCACUACUCUAGACAUGUUAGGAUGUUCACAUAAGUUAAAAUAAGUGUACAUUAGGUUUGGUUGCAAAUUCUCACCUUUUAAGCACACUUUUUAGAUUCCAACUACUCAAAUUUUGAGUUCUGCCUAAUUCUUUGCUUUUGAAUAGUUUCCUAGGUCCAUUUNACUACUNUAGACAUGUUAGGAUGUUCCCAUAAGUUAAAAUAAGUGUACACUAGGUCUGGUUGCAAAUUCUCACCUUUUAAGCACACUUUUUAGGUUCCAACUACUCAAAUUUUGAGUCCUGCCUAAUUCUUUGCUUUUGACCACAUUCCUACCUUUAUUAGACUAAGUUAGACUUGUUAGGAUGUUUACAUACCUUAGAAUAAGUCUACAUUAGGUGAAUUGACCAUUUUUGACCUUAAAACUUCACUUUUUAGGUACUUAAGAGUCAAAUUUUGAGUUUGACCUUAUUCUUUGCUUUUGCCCACUUUCCUACCUUUAUUAGACUAAGUUAGACUUGUUAGGAUGUUUACAUACAUUAGAAUAAGUCUACAUUAGGUGAAUUGACCAUUUUUGACCUUAAAAGUUCACUUUUUAGGUACUUAAGAGUCAAAUUUCGAGUUUGACCUUAUUCUUUG